rnacentral:rRNA from 1 species
AGCGCGGAGCACGAGGAAUUCUGCGUGAAUCUGCCGGGACCAUCCGGUAAGGCUAAAUACUCCCGAGAGACCGAUAGCGAACCAGUACCGUGAGGGAAAGGUGAAAAGCACUUCGAACAGAAGAGUGAAAUAGUUCCUGAAACCGUGCGCCUACAAGCGGUCGGAGCUCGUUAAUGAGUGACGGCGUGCCUUUUGCAUAAUGAACCUACGAGUUGCCUUUGCCGGCAAGGUUAAGUGUGACGACACACGUAUCCGAAGCGAAAGCGAGUCUGAACAGGGCGUAUAGUCGGCAGUGGCAGACGCGAAACCAAGUGAUCUACCCUUGGCCAGGUUGAAGGCUGGGUAACACCAGCUGGAGGACCGCACCAAUAAGCGUUGAAAAGCUUCUGGAUGAGCUGAGGGUAGGGGUGAAAGGCUAAUCAAACUUGGAGAUAGCUCGUACUCCCCGAAAUGCAUUUAGGUGCAGCCUUGCGGGUUACUGAUGUGAGGUAGAGCGACUGAUAAGAUGCGAGGGCUUCACCGCCUAUCAAGUCUUGACAAACUCCGAAUGCGCAUCAGUUCUACCGCAGGAGUGAGGGCAUGGGUGCUAAGGUCCGUGCCCGAGAGGAGAAGAAUCCGGACCACCUGCUAAGGUCCCGAAAUGACAGCUAAGUUAAACUAACGAAGUCUGACUGCUAAGACAGCUAGGAUGUUGGCUUGGAAGCAGCCAUUCAUUUAAAGAGUGCGUAACAGCUCACUAGUCGAGGAGGCGGGCGUGGAUAAUAAUCGGGUAUCAAGUUGUCUACCGAAGCAGUGGGAUCAUUUAUAUGAUCGGUAGGGGAGCAUUCCAGUCAGCGUCGAAGGCGUACCGUGAGGUAUUCUGGAGCGUCUGGAAAAGCAAAUGUAGGUAUAAGUAACGAUAAAGGGGGCGGGAAACCCCCUCGCCGAAAGACUAAGGUUUCCUGAUCAACGCUAAUCGGAUCAGGGUCAGUCGGGUCCUAAGGCUCAGCCGAACGGCGAUGCCGAUGGCAGAAACGGUUAAUAUUCCGUUACUACCUUCAGGAGUGACGUGGAGACGCAGUAGUGACAGUGCCGCCAUCUGACGGAAUAGAUGGUUGAAGGGUGUAGGAGUCGAUCAUGGCAGGCAAAUCCACCAUGAGAUCCGAACCUGAGAGUAUGCCGCGUCCUUCGGGACAAGGCAAUAGUGCGCGUAAGCAUGCUGCCGAGAAAAUCCGCUAAACUUAAUCCUGCAGGUACCCGUACCGCAAACGGACACACGUAGUCGGGAUGAAUAUUCUAAGGCGCUUGAGUGAUUCACGGUUAAGGAACUAGGCAAACUGACCCUGUAACUUCGGGAUAAAGGGUCCCUACCCUUUUAUGGGAGGGCGCAGAGAAUCGGUCCAGGCAACUGUUUAACAAAAACACAGGGCUGUGCCAAAUCGAAAGAUCCAGUAUACAGCCUGACACCUGCCCGGUGCUGGAAGGUUAAGAGGAGAUGUCAUCGAUGAGAGAAGCGUUGAAUUGAAGCCCCAGUAAACGGCGGCCGUAACUAUAACGGUCCUAAGGUAGCGAAAUUCCUUGUCG